GGGUGGGCUCCGAGGUAAAAAAUUCAUGUUUUCACAAGAGGCCAGUAAUUUUCUAUUCUUCAACACCUGAAUCCCUGCAAAACUGAAUCAAGUGUCCAGAGAGAGGAAUGAGUACAAAGAGAGAACAAAGAGGGCUCAGAGAUGAGACUUUGUGGGACUUAAACAUUUAGACUUGAUUGUGCAAGCCAACUAGAGGGACUGAGCCUGAUCAUGCUUCAUGAGGGAACUGGGAGACGGAACUACAACAAUUAUCCAUACAGACAAAUACAGGACAACACAACUACAUGUUAACAAAUACACCUUAACAAAUACAAACAGUAAUAAUAGGACAAACAAUGGCAGGGCCUUCACCCAGUGCAGAACACUGACAACCAAGUACAUCAGGGAUUUGAAGUUCCCUACCCAAAAGUCAACAGGGUGUUCCUGAUUUAAUCUACAGUGGUAGUAACAUUAUUUUCUUGACUUUUCUCCAGCUAAAAUACUAGCUUUUGCUACCAUGUUUAGAAUUGUAAAUAGUUCUGGCUUCUAGAAAGGCUCUCAUUAACGCCUCCCUGUCACGUGGGGUUAAGCAGUAAUUAGAGGUGAGUCCUUGUAAAAUUUCACGUAAAUAGUCUGACUGUACUCCAUGAGUAACUACUGCCUGUUUAGAAUCUGUAAAAGUUUCAUAAGUUAAAAGAGUAUGACUAUGUCCUUGAAAAUACUGAAAGAGUUUGGGAUAAUUUGAGUCAUAGUUACAGAAAAUGCUUUCAUAACUUCCGGGAAGAGGGGAGUUUCUUUUUUGUUGACUUUUUUCGUAAGGAUUAUAAGCACAAGGUCUUAUAUUACAUUCCUUAUUUUUCGCUGAAAUGUGCAAAUUAUGAGCUGAUUAUUCAAUUUUCAUGAUUCUUUAUGUUGACUUUCAGAUGCUACUAUUUCACCAUCUGAUUCAGAGCUUAUAGAUUCAUUAUCGAUUUCUGCAUCAAGUAAAGCUUGGCUAUUUGACUAGCUCACGAUUGUGGCCCUAUCAUUGAACUGAUGCCAUACUUAUUUUCUUGUGUUCAGAAGAGGCUCUGGGAGUCUUUGGAAGAGAAGAUAAAGGUUGAAAAGUGGCAAUCUUGGAGGUAUUCCUAUUUCCUUUUAGAAGGAUGAAGAGAAGUAAAAUUCUGACAGGCCAGUAACAAGACUCAUAGGCUCCGAUUUGGGCUAAAAUUAGGAGUUAAUGGCAAUUUUAAAAUAUCCUCCAUAGUCUACAGACUCUUAAGAUGCCCCAGGAAGUGCUUGGAUUAUCCAAACACAGUUUAAUUUCCAUUGGUUUCUUCACGGUAUUUGAUGUGUGGAAUUUGCGUGGAGGGUAUUGAGAUGUCUGCUGCUUUAGAGAAUUCUAACACAGCUUCUAUAGGUGUACCUGCUCCUGCCCUUGUCCUGCAGGCGUCUUUAUCCUUUACAGCUCUGUGAAACCUUACAAAACCUUCCAAUACAAUCAUCUUCUGUUCCUGUCUGUACUGGUUGACUUUGUGUGUCAACUUGACACAGGCUGGAGUUAUCACAGAGAAAGGAGCCUCCCUUGAGGAAAUGCCUCUAUGAGAUCCAGCUGUAAGGUAUUUUAUCAAUUAGUGCUCAAGUGGGAGGACACGGGCCAUUGUGGGUGGUGUUAUCCCUGGACUGGUAGUCCUGGGUUCUAUUAGAAAGCAGAGUGAGCAAGCCAGGGGAAGAAAGCCCGUAAGCAGCACCCCUUCUUUGUCUCUGCAUCAGCUCCUGGCUCCACGUUCCUGCCCUGUUUGAGAUCCUACCCAGACUUCCUUUGGUAAUGAACAGCAAGAUGGAAGUGUAAGCUGAAUAAACCCUUUCCUCCCCACCAUCAUAAUAGUAAAAGUGCCUGUGUCCUCUGGCAUGACCUAAAAGAGACGUUCCUAGUAAACUAGUGGAACCUCCGAAAGGUCCCAAAACAGGGUGUCCUCUGCUAUACCACCACUACUACCCACCUCCCCACCCCCCAUCUUUAUGUCAGUCCCCUCAGGUGCUGGCAGCCUAGCACACCCCCAUAGUGCCAGUGGGAUGAUUGGCUACUCCAGAGCUCAUGUUCAUUCCCCAGUUGUCCAAAGGCUGUAUAAAAACAAAAACAAAAACAAACAAAUAAACAAACCUUGCUGCUGCA